CUCUUUCGCACAGAUGAUGCAGCACCAUUGAAAUGUGCAGAUAUCUGCAGCCAGUGAAGUAAAUUAUUCAGAUAACCAGAUGUUAGGCUAUGGAUCCUUCUUCUUCUUGGCUAGUUGCCAGGUCCACUGGCUCUCCAAUGACUUUGAAAAGGAAAACCAUUCAGGGGUGUGACCUUCGGCAGGAGAAACAUCAAAUCCUCCAAGGCAUGAAUAUCAUCCCUCAGAAUAACUGGAGACGAAUUCAGAUACUUCCAAGGAAUUACAUCAAAAUGAUCAAAGCUUGUAUAGUCCAAGUGGAAACAAAGGACAUCUGCAUGGAACAUCAAUUUAUAGUCAAUAUACUGGAUCAAACAUGGUAUUGCUUGAAAAUAGGAGAGUAGCUGAACUUACGAAUCAUGAGCUUCCAAAAUAAUGGAGGCAAUGUAAAGGCAAGGGGACAAACAAUAUAACUUGUCUGGAGGAAGGAAUGAAUCAACUGAGAGGGUAAGUAUAAGGCAGUCUGAUGAGGUUGCUGUGCUAUCCUCAAAAAUAUAUAUUUCUUCAUGGUGAGGAUAAAUGCAUGAACAUCAGAUAUGAUCGCAUCCAGAGCAAUGAGAGAGAUAACUGAUGGCUCUUCAUUUAUUCCAGUGGUUAAAUAGAAAGGCUUGGUGCUGAGAGGGUAUAUUUUACACUGAGCAACCAAAUCUCUCUCAGCCAGAGGCCAUAACUCCACUCCAUACUCAGUGCCGUAGACUGCUGUGCCACUCGGGAUGCCCAAAAAUGUAGUUUCUAAGGAAACACAGGGCUCUAUUUUAACAAACCUAACACAAUGGUAAAUCUUAGAGCUGGCGGCAUUAUAGGUUCGGGGGUGUCAUAAAUAUUUUUCACAACUGGAAUAUGGGCGCAGUAGCGGUGCAAAGGGGCUGAGUUUUGAUGAAUAAACAAGUUGUGAGUAUGUCGAGGAUUGGCCCAUCACUGGCCAAUCAGAACGUGUUCCAUGGCUAAAUAUGUGUUUGCUUCAAGUUGUCUAUUUAUGGUAUUUUAUGUAUUUAGCUUGUAAUCAACUCCAAUUCGAAUGUUAGUCUUUUAUCGCCUAGUUCAUUAAAUAGCCAACCGCAUAUUUUCUAAAUAUGUUGAACAUGUUUGCAGUCCACAUUGUUCUAAUUGAAUUUGCUUCAAUAUGUAAAUACAUACUUAAACAUGGGCUAUAGCAUUCACACUGAUAUAGCGGCUAGGCCUACUGUAAAUUGCAGUCUGGACUAACCUCGUCAAUAAGCAAGAUUAAAUUCCCUAGGCUACUGAUAAGGCCUAAAAAGACAGUAUAUCAAUCUAAUCAAAUGCUAAUAAAAAUGAAACAACAACUUGUUUGAAAUAAUCUAUGUCUAAAUGCAGAUACCGGCAUCAUAAUUGCUCCCCGUGGGCCUAUAAUACAGACAAGGCAACUUAAAGUAUGGACGGUUUUACGCACAUUCAAACUUUUCACAGGAGCUGGAUAAAGAUCCAAUAUAAAAAGAAAGGGGAAAUGUCCACUCACCAUUAUACUGCUCACAAAUGGAAUGUUAUAUAAACGUCAUGGAACCAUCUUAUUGGCACUUCUCCAGAAAUAUCAGAUGAAAUUGCAUUGCGUUCGAGCAAUGUACAUUAUCACCAUAAACCCAUGGAUGGUGUAUCUUUCUAAUUUUGUUUUAAUCAAAUGAAAUUAAAAACCAUCUGUUUUUUAAACCAACAACAAUAUUUCUAAAUAGGAUCGCUUCUCUCGUUCCAUGGCACUGUGGGCACACAUAGGCCUAAAUGUCUUUACGCAUAACAUUCACACAUCUAUACAAAAUACUAGGCUCCUGUCAAUUGUAUCAUUGCCUAUGUGCGGGGCAGAAAAAAAAACAUCUGGCAUUUAUGGUAUUAUAAGGAGGACGGAAUAGUUUGGAGGAGCUUGUCUUUGGUAAUCAGACAAGGGCCACUCUGAAAUGGGAAUGGAUAGCCUAUGCACAAGCGAAGUGCAGGUAUGUGAAUUGUGAAUAAAAUGUAAAAGCACUCUCAGUAGAUCAUUUAAAACCCCUUUAUGUAUAGGCUACUUUUUGCUAAUGGCCAGGAUAAAACAACGCACCUAUGCAACACUACUAAACUAGCCUUGAAGAAGGUUAAGGGGAGGGUGUGAUAUGAUAAGCUUGGUUUUUUAUCAAAUUAAACAAAAUUAUGGGAAACCAAUAUUGUUUAUGUUUCUACUCACUGGGCAUAGACUUCAUUUAUACGUCAACUUCUGAUUUAAAUUAGAUUGAUUUGUCAACUAAUGUGAAAUCAACAACAAAUGUCACCAUGUCAUUGGAUUUAGGUUCAAAAUUGGAUUUAAAAAACUACUAAAUUCCCUUAUGUUGAUUAAUUUUUGCAAAUCCAAUCAGUUUUCCAUGUUGAUUCUGUCACGCCCUGACCUUAGUAUUCUUUGUUUUCUUUAUUGUUUUGGUUAGGUCAGGGUGUGACAUGGGUGAUGUAUGUGUUUUUGUACUGUCUAGGGCUUUUGUAGGUUUAUGGGUUCGUUUUACUAUCUAGGUGUUUGUUUGUCUAUGGUUGCCUAGAUUGAUACUCAAUUAGAGGCAGCUGUUUAUCAUUGUCUCUAAUUGGGAACCAUAUUUAGGCAGCCAUCUUUGGGUAUUUUGUGGGUUAUUGUCUGUCUAGUUGCCUAUGUCUGCACUAGUAUUAUUAUAGCUUCAUGUUCGGUUUGUUUUGUAUAGUUUAAGUGUUCUUCGUCUUCAUUGAAGUAUGUAUUCAUCUUACGCUGCGCCUUGGUCUCCUCCGUACAACAUCACAUUGAGUUUUUGUUGUUGAAAUAACGUGCAAACCACAUUGAUUCAACCAGUUUUUGACCAGUGGGUAAAUACGAGAUUCACGUCGCAAAAGGCACAUCUCUCCUUCCAUGCCAUUAUCAACUGCGUAACUAAAACCAAGAACUGCUUAUUGUGUGUCUUAACUUCCAAUUAGCGCUGCAUGAAAUUGUCACUUUUCCUCUUGUUUUUAAGGACACAUCUCAAAUAUUGCCACCCCUCCCACCUCAGCACAAGAAAGCUGAUGUUAGACAGGUGUAUUGCCGAACCUGGCGGUAGCGCUGGUAAGGGCCAGUGCGCCAGGUUUCGCAUGACGUAAUUGCAAGCUAAUGUGCCUUCGACAAUUGCGCCUCCUUAGCGCCAGCAGAAAAUAAAGCCAACAGUGAAAAUAGCCUUAAAAUUUCAUGCUGUUUUUAUGCUUGUUACCUAUAUAAGGAACAAGAAGUGUGCAGUAAUAAUGCCUAAAGCCAAACCAUUCAAGCCAUGGUACUCUCUGUCAAAGUCAUUAUUGACAAGGCAGUAAUGGAAUAGCAUUUAGCAUUACAUGAAUAACCUGAUUAAUGUAUUUCAGAUCAUACUAAUUGGAAUAUACAGAACUCAACAAGCUAUCCUAAUACUGUACACUCCUUGGGGCACUAAUGGAAAAAGAUAAUAUUCAGGCUGCAUCACAUCUGGCCGUGAUUGGGAGUCUCAUAGGGCGGCACGCAAUUGGCCAAGCGUCGUCCGGGUUUGACCGGGGUAGGCCAUCCAUUGUAAAUAAUAAUUUGUUCUUUAACUGACUUGACUAGUUAAAUAAAGG
rnacentral:lncRNA from 1 species